ensembl:snoRNA
UGGCUCAGUUUCCUGGGAGUGUGCUCAGCCUAGUUCACCUCCCCUCAGUUGAGCCAGAGUAGAGGGGCCAGAUAUCCUCCCCUGUGGGAGAGGUAUUUAAGAAAGGAGCUUUGCCUGGGCUGUCCUAGCUUCACAUUU